CUGACCGAGCAACGCCGCGUGAAUGACGAAGUACUUCGGUAUGUAAAGUUCUUUUAUCAAGGAAGAAAAGCAAAUGGCGAACCAUUUGUUUGCCGGUACUUGAUGAAUAAGCCCCGGCUAAUUAUGUGCCAGCAGCCGCGGUAAGACAUAAGGGGCAAGUGUUAUCCGGAAUUAUUGGGCGUAAAGGGUGCGUAGGCGGUCUAGUAAGUCAGUGGUGUAAUGGCAACGCUUAACGUUGUCCGGCUAUUGAAACUGCUAAACUUGAGUUAGAUAGAGGCGAGUGGAAUUCCAUGUGUAGCGGUAAAAUGCGUAAAUAUAUGGAGGAACACCAGAGGCGUAGGCGGCUCGCUGGGUCUUAACUGACGCUGAGGCACGAAAGCGUGGGGAGCAAACAGGAUUAGAUACCCUGGUAGUCCACGCCGUAAACGAUGAGUACUAAGUGUCGGGUUAAACCGGUACUGAAGUUAACACAUUAAGUACUCCGCCUGAGUAGUACGUACGCAAGUAUGAAACUUAAAGGAAUUGACGGGACUCCGCACAAGCGGUGGAUCAUGUUGUUUAAUUCGAAGAUACCCGAAAAACCUUACCAGGUCUUGACAUGUUUUUGCAAAAUGAUAGUAAUAUCGUGGAGGUUACCAGAAACACAGGUGGUGCAUGGUUGUCGUCAGCUCGUGUCGUGAGAUGUUAGGUUAAGUCCUAAAACGAGCGAAACCCUUAUCGUUAGUUGCCAGCACGUUAUGGUGGGGACUUUAACGAGACUGCCAAUGAUAAAUUGGAGGAAGGUGAGGAUCACGUCAAAUCAGCAUGCCCCUUAUGACCUGGGCUACAAACGUGAUACAAUGGCUG
rnacentral:rRNA from 1 species